UAGGUCUAUUGUUGGGCUUAUUUAGGUAACUUUUAUGAAUGGUUCAGUCUUUAACUGACGAUAUUGGAGCGAGUCGAGUUUCAGUUCUAAAGUAAUCUAUUUAUUCCAACUCAGUUCAAUACGCCGCAGAAUUUCAAAAAAUAUUUUUCUAUUUUUUUUGACAGGGAAAAUGUAACAGAUAUUACUAGAAGGUGUCGCUAGAGAAAAGCAUACGAAGUCCUGUUUAGUCGACGGCAAAUGUUGUGCAGCCUUUUUCCAACUAGUCUCUUACAAUUAAGUCUUCAUGCACUGUUCGCUUCAUGCAAUUUAGGCAAUUUAAAUGAGAUAACCCAGAUUCCUAUGUCGCUUACUGAUGGCAUAAAAUAUCAAUAAGAAAAUCCCCGUAAUCUCGUCGACUUCGUCCGAACAUUCUCCAUAGUUAACACGAUUUCCUGUCGGCAGCCACUGUGACACAAUCUGUCAGUUGGUUGAUAGCGUUCGAUUGCCGUGGCUUUAACUACAAUUCCUUUGCUCUCCAAAUUCUGAGUGGAUUUCUCUUGGACAGGAAUACACACGGUCUCCCUACUGAAUGCCAUAGCUGACCUCGGCAUUGUGUAUUCAGCUGGUUCUGAAAAUUCCGUCUUUUCAUGAAAAUUGCUGAACAACGAACGCUCGCAGUAUAGUUUGACAUUGUACUUGUCCUCGUUCCUUAAAAAAACUAAAGAGCGCAUUGGAAAAAGCUACUGGAAAGGCUGGCUUUAAGCUCCAGAUGUCUAGUUCCGUUCUAACUAAUAUCUUAACGAUUAGCGGUAAUGUCGAAGGUAGCACAGACCUUGUGAGUGCAGAAGCCUUAGCUCUUGCAGUCAUAUGGCGAAGUAAGGAAAGAACUAUGCCGAAAAUACGAUUGUAUAUGGUUACCGCCAUUGUUUAACCACAAUGAAGUUGUGACGAUGCGCUGCCAGUGAGAAAAUCAUUUCAACGAUAAAACAAUGAUAAUAUAUGAAUGAUGCUCAUCACCAUCGUGCAGUCUUAACACAACAAUGAAUCCUCAGUUCACGUUCAGGCGUUCAACACGUUCAAGAGGCAGGGCCAGACUUCUGCAUGCGUAAACGCUGUUCUUUUACCGCUAAUAGCUUAACUGUUUUAGGUUAUGUCUUAAUGAUUCAUUGGGACAGGUGCAUAGGCGUGUGCUUAACUGUCGUUUGCGAACACGGGACUAUCGUCAUUGUUUAGUAAUGCUUCCAGAGUCACACAUCUUCGCGAUGCUCCGUGGGAUCGAAGAGCGCUCACAGUCUAACAAAUGCUAAUGAUAUUGAGAAAUUAGGCGAAUUUUAAUACGUCAGAACACAUCGAUGAUAAAAUCUCAUUGAUAACGUAUAAUCGCUAGGAACAAAACGCGAGUGCUUUUCGUUGGAAAAUAAGUUUGUUGUACACGAUUAACUCAUUAAACUGUUGUUUCGACGUCUCGAAACGGGCUCGAAGCUUGCCGCGACAAGGGAUGGCCACCUGUUUGGAGUGUUGUAUAUCGUCUCCGAGCAGCGCAUAGCGGACCCGAUUUGGUCGUUGAAAACGGAUCGGCUCGACGCGCGUCCGGUACUUCAGCCGUUAAACAUCACUUCAUGCAGGCAGCUCCCAGCACGGGACGAAGAAGUUCGAGUCUAGAUCAUCAGCAGAUGUUCGCAACUUCAUCGUGCAAAGACGUCAUCGCUGCGCCGUCAUGAGAAUAAGGAUCUUGUUAGAGUUGUCUCUGUUUGCGGUUACCGUCGGCGCUGCGAAUUAGUAUACCAGCUAUAGACCAGCUCACGUAUCGGUAUCCAACACGGUAGGUCCGAUCCGUACGCUUCAAAGCCAUCACAUAGGUUCCCAAAGAAAAAAAAAAAGCAGUGUUUGCCGAACAUUUUGAUCACCUGGACUCUAGGUAGACCUGUAGAAAUGGUUCAGUGCAGACGCAUCUAUUUUAUUGCUGUUACGGAGCAACCUGUUUCCUACAUGGUCGGCGAAGUGCUGCUUUUGAAUAAAUUCGCUUACCAGAGAUCGUGCGUGACGUUUAAUCCCUAGUGAUCGAGCGUUAUUGACGCAUUACGGUGGCGUCCUUGCCGAUAGGAACCUUGGAAGCGACAGAAGUCAUGGAAAGUUUUCUAACAGCAGGCUAACCUGUUGUUGCUAAGCAUCGGGUUCUAAAAGGAACUCCUGACUGGAACAGAAAGACGUUCAAGGUUUAUGAAAACCAACUGUGAUUCGACAAUUUUGUACCUGAGAGACGGGAGCUAUAUCUAUGUGUUAGGUAUAUCGAGUGCUCGACGGCAAUUGACAUAGGUUCCCGUCAGUAUCAAAAUCAAGCAAACUAGAUCGCGUACUUUUAUAAUCCACCAGCACAAGUACUAAAUCUGAUUUUACUCUAAGUCAGCAGCGGCUAAGAAGACCCCAGGACGUUGACACCAACUAGAGCAUGGGCCAAUCAGCAGUAGGAUCAACGAAUGCUCCUAUAGAAGCUGUAAACAUCGGGGGGUGCACGUCACAAUGAUCUCUAUAAUACAAACUACUACUACCGAUGCCCGGCCUGAUUGCAAUUAUGCCCGGUAAUUCGAUUGUCGCGCCACAGUGUUUUAUUGAGGUUCGCCUUCAGUCAUUAGGUUGCCGAUCACUGAACGAAACGCCAAGCUUUGCAUUGCCGAGCCUGCGCUCGAAACAAGGCUAUCUAGUGCAUAAUGAAAUGCAUAGUAUUACCUGCAGUAAGAUACACGCUCACGUCGUAGCCAUCGUUCCAUGGCCGGUUUUCCUCCCCCUCCCUCUGCAAUUUUCUACGGCAAUUUACACAUAUCUUGUCGUAGGUUAACGCAAUGUAGAGAGUGGCUCCUUGCAGUACAAGUCUUAUCUAGUUAACCAUCGGGUGGAUUUGCCGAUACCAAUAGAUUCGUUGUCACUGCUUGGGUCCGCUCCUACUUGGGUAAAAUCCCACUGGGUCAAUUUUCGCGUCUAGGGCAUCGUUUCGAGUCAGAAUGGAAUCAUUAAGUAGUGGCAAAACCCGUGUUGGCAACCUAUUACAAGCCCUUUCGUCUUACAAUACUGUGGUGAUAAUGAGCUUUAUACUCAAGAAAAGUAGGCGCAGACUAUUAAUAUGAUGUUAAGUUGAUUUAACUUGAAGGUACAAGUAUAUGAUUUUCAAAGUCGCUGGCUUUCAGUGGUUGGCAUGGACGGCAUGGUUUUUUGGGUGUUUAAUCCUUACGCCUAAGUGCAUGUAUGUAGGUAAAUUCAUAUUGGUGCUUAGCUAGGUCAAACAGGCGAAAAGGUUGAAGGAAGAAGCUCUACCCCAAAUGAUGAUGGUACAUUCAUCAGGGGUACAGAACACGACCACCGUGAGAACCACUGCUUGAAGACGGAGUAAGUGAUUUGAAGCCCAUUAACUACUGUUGUUAAUGUAAGCGUAUUCGGAUUUCGCAAUGAGUAUAAUACGAAUUAGUAUAGUGUUGUCAUACAUAUACCAGUUGACAUCAUCUGUGUGGUUAUUUUUGCGGGCCUACUUAUAUCUCGAGUCCACUUUGAUGCCUACAUUGUAACGGUGGUAAGAUGAA
rnacentral:lncRNA from 1 species